UAUGUAGCCUAUUGCCAUGAAUUUGGUCAGAGUUGAGGAACUGGGUCACGACACAUCAAGGGAGAUGAAAAUCUCGUCAAGGACAGAGUGAGAGGGGAGGAUAUAGAUGCCAGGCGGGACAUGGCGAGAUGUGAUGCCGAUGUCUAAGGGCACCAGUGGGUCGAGCGAGACGGGCUUCUGCCCAGCGAUGCCAAGAAAGAAGCGUCAAUGGCAGGCGCUGACCAGUCUACGCGUAUUAUGGGCUUACAGUCCAAUUUUGAGUUUUUCAUAUCAACAUGAUUGUUUUACGGUCAAUUUUCUGAAUAUUGUUAGUGACUAACUAUUUCCUAAUUUUGUUUAUUUAGGAUGGAGAGAAUAUGUAAGGCUAAUGUUUGAGCAGAAGGAGAGUGAAAAGAUGCAAGAGUGAUACACCCAAGCACUUGAUUUGAGUCAAACAUGGUUUGUUGUACAGGAUUCCACCGUAUUUGUCCGCACAAAUAGUGCUUGAUAUUUACUGAUAAUAGUUUUUCUCCAUAGUUCAGUGCCUACAUCUUUAUUUUCCUAAUAUAGUCAUAUUGCCCAUAAACGUGCAUCUUUUAUUUUGAGUUCUUCCUGGGUGCCACACUGAAGGCGAAUUCUUCCUAGAUGUAUCAUGCACCUGUAUCUUGCCGUUCUAUAUUCUCAAAGGUUUCGGACACCACUUUGACCUGCGACAAAUAUUUGGACUAUUUAUUUAGUGACACUGAUCAUAGCUGCCCGCAGGUUUUAUUCACUCACCAACUCUGGCUUUUGGUGUACACGGUACACCGUGAGGCAAGUAGGUUGACAAUUUCAUCUGUUAUCAUGAGUGUCGUGUUUACUCUUGCAGUUCAGUUAUUAAGCUUAUGCUUAAGAUGAUUGUACUGUCUAGAGGUAGAAUGGCUAAGCUCUCUUUAUAAUCCUUUUACUGGAUAUCUUGCAAAUGGCACACUAAAGGGGAUGAAAGUAUUAGGUGUGGGGGUAUCAGUCCACUAUGUUCUUAUGUCUAUGGAUCCGCGAAAUGUUGACGCUUUAUUGGUUUUGGUCACAAAAAUGUUUGGUGUACAUGCUUUCAUCUUGAAUAUAUGUAGCUCUAAAGUAAUACUACUUCCCAGUUAGUUCAUUGAAGUAAUGAUACAAUCAAUUGGAUGCUUUUCUACUGUUAUGGAUCUAGCGGGAAAAAAAGUUGUUUUGAUGUCAUUGUUUUUCACCAUAGUUCAUUGUCAACAUCUUUAUUCUCCUAAUACAGUCAUAUUAUCCAUAUAAGUGCAGCUUUUAGUUCGUAAAAGUACUUUGUACUUAGCCCAAUUGAUUUAAAUAGAUCCCUUGUUUAUACAGUAUGUAUGAGACACCUUGCAAUUAUUUCACUAGAUCGAUGGAUGAUAGCUUGCUGUUGCAGAUGAAACCGAAGAAACUGUAUCUAUCCUGGGCCAGUUGCCAACCAAGCCAACAUUGUCUCAGUUACCGGUUCAAAGAUGUCUCAAACCACGCACAAACAUUUCAGUUGAUACAUACGCCAUAAGUUUGGUUGUCUGCUCUUUUAAAUGCCCAGAAGCAUAACUCUCGAGAUCAUUGCGGAGAUCAUUGCUCACUGAACAUAAGACCAGAUGUUCCAAUUUAUUUUAUUGCUCAAAGAAGAAUUGGUGUUCUGUUGUGUUAUCCUGUGACACUAUAUGGCAUCAGGUUGUUUGCUUCUAUCGAUUGGUUUGUGGUUUGUGGGUUGUGCUUUGCACCGUCGUUAUCAGUGUUUCUGUUAGAUUAUUGUCUGAUCUGUUCCACCAACAGAUAUGGAAGUUGUUGGUGUGGUGAUCGUUGUAGGGCCCGGGCUGACUGGCAGGAAAGUUGGGAAUGUCGUCGCGUAUACAGGCAAGCCGAUGGGCUCUUAUGCUGAAGAGCAGAUUAUUCCAGCCAAUGUUGGUUCCCGUCACGCCUUUGAUUGAUCACACAGUGGCUGCUAUCAUGCUCAAGGGGGUGACUGCCCAUAUGCUGGUUCGCCACAUAUUUAAGGCAUCAUUAGAGUGCUUGGCGUCCUGCGUUUUCCUGGUGUCGUUCGGCAGUCCUCAGCCUCGCCCGACCCGAUCUCCAUGGGCGACCUGGCAUCCAAGUCGUUGUUCCUGACGAGGCCGAGCAUGAUGCACUACACGGGCACCUGCAACGAGUUGCUUGAGGCAGCCGGCGAGUUGUUUCCAAUGUGGUCUAUGGGGUGCUGCACAUCCGUGUGAAGCACACCCACCCGCUGCCGAAGGCGUCCCGCGCUCACACUAACCUCAAGGCCCAGAAGACGCCGGGCUCCAUACUGCUGACCCCGUAGAACUAAGCACCGUCAUCUUUUUUUUGGGUAGGAGAAGAAGGAAUAAACAGGGGACUCUGCGAUCUAUGUGCUCUAGAAUCUACAAUGCUUGUGAAUAUGUUGGUAGGAGUUGGCAUCUGAACACUGAAUCCUAUCAGUUUGUUUCACCUGGUUAUGUUGGAUUCAGUGGUGGUUAUGAGUUGGAUUGUGGUCUUGUUGUGCACAUCACAGUUUAAAGCAUGACGAGUUGUAAAGUCUAAUAUUUUUCAAUAUGGUCACCUAGCAGGACAAGUA